UUUUCUUGUCCUGUGCAUCAUUAUUAGUCCUAUUUCUUAUCCUACACCCACCCCGUCUCCCACUAUACUUCCCCAUUUCGAGGGAAGAGGUUAAUAUAACCUCUUUCUCUUUCUUUAACAAGCAUACAAUUUUUAAUUUUUUUUCUCUGCCUGCCAAUGUACAUUCUUGUCUUGAUAAUAUUACUGAUUUGGCAUAUAUUAGCAUAGGGAUUCCUCUUUUAAUUGAGUUCUUGACAUUUGCUUGAUCUACCUGGUUUUGGGUAUUGAUCAUUGUGAUUAUAGAACAAGAAUUUGCAUUUUAUUGGCUGGGAUUCUAAUAUUGAUUCUUCUUUAGAUCUGGGUGCCUGUAAAGAUGUAUUCUUUUGAUCAUCCUUUUUCUUUUUUCAAAUGGUUUAUUAAUUAUUCCUUCUUUAAUUUUAUCUUUAGUAUAUCUUACUUUUAGCCUCGAAUUUUUGUGGCAGAUUUACAGCAGAGAAAAGGAUCUUACUUUAUUGGCAUCGGUGUAUAAUUCAUCAGAUUAAAGUUGGGUUCUUGAGAGCUGAGCUUUUCAAGAAUGGCUUAAGUUGUUAUUAAUAU
rnacentral:lncRNA from 1 species